AUCACUUCUCGGCCUUUUGGCUAAGAUCAAGUGUAGUAUCUUAAAAACUUAGAUGAAAUAAUGUAUAUGCAGUAGGUGGCCCAAAACAUGUUUUUGAGAAUUGGCUUUUUAGUAACACAAAAGAAAACGAUCC
rnacentral:snRNA from 1 species